GACGAACGCUGGCGGCGUGCCUAAUACAUGCAAGUCGAGCGGAUCGAUGGGAGCUUGCUCCCUGAGAUCAGCGGCGGACGGGUGAGUAACACGUGGGUAACCUGCCUGUAAGACUGGGAUAACUCCGGGAAACCGGGGCUAAUACCGGAUAACUCAGUUCCUCGCAUGAGGAACGGUUGAAAGGUGGCUUUUCGCUACCACUUACAGAUGGACCCGCGGCGCAUUAGCUAGUUGGUGAGGUAACGGCUCACCAAGGCGACGAUGCGUAGCCGACAGGAGAGGGUGAUCGGCCACACUGGGACUGAGACACGGCCCAGACUCCUACGGGAGGCAGCAGUAGGGAAUCUUCCGCAAUGGACGAAAGUCUGACGGAGCAACGCCGCGUGAGUGAUGAAGGUUUUCGGAUCGUAAAACUCUGUUGUUAGGGAAGAACAAGUACGAGAGUAACUGCUCGUACCUUGACGGUACCUAACCAGAAAGCCACGGCUAACUACGUGCCAGCAGCCGCGGUAAGAC
rnacentral:rRNA from 1 species